UAAAACAAUAAAAAUUAAUAAAUGAAUAAAAGAGAAAUAUGAAUAGAAAAAGAGGCAAUCCAGCUGAUAUAGGGUCUUCCAAGCCAAAUGAAAGCGCAGGCCCACAUGAGGGCCGAAUGUUCACUUGUAGCCUUUGUCGGUGUCGGAGGCUUAAACACACCAAGCUGUAGCUCAAACUAACCAUCUUGUUCCCCUCUUUCUAAGCCCUAUGCUAAUUCCUUCCAAUUUUACACUAAUCAUCCAAAUAGGAGAGAUCAGUAGAUUAACCCUAAGUUACACAUCAAACAAUUAAAUAUUGUAGAGAGGGAAUUAAAGGCAGCACAAUUAGGGCUUUAAUCCCUAGGACCAAUAACAUUGCGCUAACGAUUAUUGGUCCAUAAGAGAAGAAUUAACCAACCUUUGAGACGAAGGUGUGUCCCGACAUUUGUUGCAACUAAGAAGACAAUGAUGAAACUGAAAUUGCAAAGCUUCCAAGAGGUAAUUGCUCUUACUCUUCUUCCUUCUCUAUCUUCUUCUCCUCCUCCUAUAGGUAUGAUUGUGGAUGUUGUUCUCUUCUUGAAUGCGUGAAUAUGGUUUUUAGAGAUUGAGAGAUUGAAUUUGAGAGACGUUGAGAGUGUUUGAAGCUUAAGCUCAACCAAUUGAAGCUUCCACAUGAAGCUUCAAUGGGCGUGUGAUGGAGCUUUGGUAAGGGUGAGGUCAGAGAGAGAGAGAGAGUGAAGAUGAAUGAUAUUGAGAGGAUGGUUAUGAGAAUCUAGAAAAAUGAUGGUCCCUUGAUGAGUGAGGAUGAAUGAGGUAUAAAUAAACUUAAAUGUUAACAGAGUCUUGGCUUUGUUAAUUGUUGUAGUUCAAAUCAGUUACAAGAUUAACUUUUGUUAGUCAUCUAUUAGAAUUCGGUUAGUAGGUUAGUUAUUGUUAAACUUAUGUUAGUGAGUCAGUUGAGUUUGAAAAGUUUGUUAGGUAUGUUAUGAGUUUGAUGAAAUUCGAUUAUGGUUGUUGUGAAUGGUUGAAAUGGUUAGUAAACUAUGUUAGUUAAUUAUUGCAGUUCAGUUUUCUAUUAUGUGUAUUCGGUAGUUAGUGAAUAUGAUAAUUUAAAAUGUGGUUCAGUUAGUUUUGCUUGAUUAAGUGAAUGCAAGUUGUUAGUUAGGGUGCAAAAAUUUUAUUGUGUAUGGAAUGCUUGGGCUGCUGCUGAUUGCUUGUGAAUAGGCUGCUAUGAUGAAUGUUAGAUGCAUUGUUAUGUAUGUAUGUGAUGUUUUUGAUUAUGGCCUGCUUUUAUGCUAGAUGGAUGCAUUAUUGUUGAUGCAUUGUGUUGUGAACAUGAUAUCAUGGUUGUUUAGAUAUUAUGUUGUAUGCUAGUGUAUAUGCUAAUGUAUGUUAACUAUGUUUGGUAUGCUAGGUCUGGAAGGUGAAUGAUUGAAUGCCUUGAUUGUUAUUUGCUGUAGGUUUGAAACAUGAUUGCUGAGCUUAGUGUAUUGCAUGGCAUGGUCGGCUAUUGGUUUGUUGCAGGUUUUGACGUGGGUUGCUUAGAAUGAAUGCAUUUGAAUGUAAUGCUUAUGUGUAUCAAUAUUGGUUCUUGAUGAGAAUGUAUGAAGAUGAAAAGAGGAAAUGGAGGAAAUUGGAAUCAACAUAAGGCUGAAAGAGAUUAAGUAUUAGGGUUCAGAAAAAUAUGUAAGUUGACUUGGGUCAAGGUUGACCAAAAAGUAAAUUGUUGACUAAAGUCAACUUUAUGGUCAAAGUGAUAUUUUUUUGUAAUUUUAUUUGUAAAAUGAUAUAAUGAAUGUACAUUUGUAUAUAAAAAUGGUUCUUUUAUAUCAAUGAAAAGAAAGCCUUAAUUUCAAAUGACAUUUUCCCACCAAAUUCACAUAUGAA
rnacentral:lncRNA from 1 species